AAGUCGUAACAAGGUUUCCGUAGGUGAACCUGCGGAAGGAUCAUUAACACGUAUCCACGUUUAUCAACUAACACGACGAACUGCACACCAUCUCCCCGUAGACUACCUAAUUCUAAGCUGUUGAAGGAGGCUAUAAUGGGUCCAGCUUGCUGGACAGGCUUCCCGAGACUAAUGGCCCUCGAGGUCGUAAGCGAAGUAACUGGCUAGUCGGGCUUUACUCAUUCCACCGUGGGCUUUCCCAUUUACCAGCUACGUGGUUUGAACCCAUAACCAUUUUCACCCUAUCUUACCAAAUUGGCUAAUAACUACAGUUCUCGAGAGAAAUCUCGACUGAACUUCUAAGAUUUAUCUUAACUAAGCACAACUCUUAGCAAUGGAUAUCUUGGUUCUC
rnacentral:misc_RNA from 1 species